GGGCUCCCGGGCUGCACCCUGGGCCUCUGGCGCGUCUUUCUGGACCCCGCCGGGGCUGGGGAGAGGGAGGCCCGGGCGGGCUUGGCACCCGAGCUGCCCCGGGAUGCAGGGUCGCGACCACUGGGCAGUCACCAUUGCUGUACGCACAGCGGUCGUUGGUCGGAGCUCCGUCCUGACCGGUUGGCUCGGUUUGCUCAGGAGGUCCCGCUUGUCCAUCAGGAGAAACCGGGGUCAGAGUUUCCUGGUGUGGCCACUCGGGAAAGUUCUGUGCAUGUCAUUAAGAACAUUUAAGGCCAUUAACUUCGAAGCAGACGUCCCGACAAGUGUUAGUGAUUGCACACUGGUCAGCGCCUGAGCUGGGUAUUAAGCACUGCCCACGGCCGUGCGUCAUCUGAUGGAUGCCCUGUACCCGUGGCCUGGACUGGGAAACUGAGCUGUUAAGAGGGGAAGUGCCCGAAGUCAUUUACCGAGGAAGAGACAAGUGUGGGAACCCAGAUUAGGCGCACCGCGAUGCCAGGUCUUCAUCACCGGGCAAUAAACCUGCUUAAUGAGUCAACUGAGUUCUGGUUUCCCCGCAAGAACUCACAGGAACUCCAAAGUAGCAGGCGCCCAAGGCAGCAAGAGCCUCCCUAUUGCCCGACAGUAAAGGUCAAAUAUACAAUACAAUCAAUCCAGCAUCACAGCAAUUAUAUAUAGCUCAACUCAAAUCAUCAUCUCAAUGGUUCCCUGGUGCUCACCUUUCAACCAUUCCCUCUGGCAAAUGCCAGGCAUCCCUCAGACUGGCUGUGGCUCUCAACAGUAUUCCAUGGGGGAUCAGCCAGGUCAACAACCUCUUUCUGAUGGAGUUUUUAUGGUGCAGUGUUCUAGGCAUAACAAUAAAGAGAAGGGAAAAUGAUAUGGAACCCAGAGGGCGAUUUGCUCUUUGCUUGGCCUACACUGACUUGAAGAGGGGCCAUUUUCUCUGCUUUCCCCAGUUCUGAAUGUGCUUUGUGUCCAAAAGAAAGUCCAUGAAAGCUUGUUUGCCAAACAUCUUAAAUUUUAUGGACGUUUUAUCUUUUUGGGGAGGAGGGGUGUCUUGUUCUUUUUCUGUGGUUCUUUGCUUUUUUUGCAUACCUCGUGCCUUGUGUGUAUAGAAUUCAGGCCACCUCGGGCACAAGCACCUUCAUUGUUGCUUUGUUUUGUUUUUGGGGGGUACCAGGACUGAACUCAGGGGUACUUGCCCACUGAGCCACAUCCCCAGCCCUAGUUUGAUUUUUAUUUAGAGACAGAGUCUCACUGAGUUGCUUGGUGCCUUGUUUUUGCUUAGGCUGGCUUUGAAUUUACGAUCCUACGGGUGCGUGGGCCACCACUGCAGGUCUUUUUAUCUUUUUUAAGCACUCAUAACUGUCAUUAGAAAAAAACAAAACAAAAAGCCCCCAAACCGGUUCAUUCAGACUGGGCCAUUCCCGAAGGGUAUCAAAGGUAUCAUAUAUUUUAUACAAAAUAUAUGACACAUUCCUUUCUUUAUGGCUUCUAGUUUUCUUUAAUCACCUUUCUGCACUGGAGGCUGUUGGUGAAGCCCAGAAUCCAUUUGCAGUGACAAAUGCUCUUGAACAUAGGAGAGAUUGGGGGAGGUAGGCUAGGUCCUGUUUUAAAGGACACCUUGGAAAAAAGGGGGGUACUAGGGCAUUUAAAAGCAAGGAUCCGAGCUGAAGUUUUCAGUGCCCUAGAUGAUGAUCAUGAACCCCGACCAACGUUGUCUCAUGAAAACCUUCUAAUUAACGAAUUAAUUCGGGAGUACUUGGAAUUCAACAAAUAUAAGUAUACGGCAUCGGUCCUCACAGCAGAAUCUGGUCAACCUGCAGUUCCACUGGACAGACAGUUUCUCGUCCGUGAACUAAAUGCCUUUGAAGAGUCAAAGGACAACAAAAUACCUCUUUUAUAUGGAAUUUUGGCUCAUUUCUUGCAUGGAACUAAGGACAGCGUCCCAAACACCUUUCUGAAGGAGUCUUCAUUUCAGCCUUCAAACCCAAAUCUUGUCAGACAGAAGAAGGCCGAUGGAGGGCGCUGCUGGGAGGCGCUUGUGUCUGAAGGUCUGGUUUCUGAUGGAAGAGCUCUGGCGGCCCUCAGCAGCUGACCCACCACUUGUCCUCCUCCCUGGUGAAUUCCAUUCCUUACAAAUAAGAGGUGAACACCAAGAAAGGAGAGGGGCGAAGGCACCAACACCGAGGCUCUCCCCCUUUCUCAAGCCGUGAAGAGAUGACACUUCGAUGCAGAGUAUCUUUUAUCUUAAAAUUGUGUGUAUUAAGUAACUUAUUUAUCAUUCCAGUGUUACAACUACUAUUUGCAUUUUGUAGAAAUUUGAGUUUCUGCACAACACUUGACCCCUCGUGUUUUACUGCAUUUGUGAAUAAAAGCUAACUCUGUCAUCUAGCUUA